rnacentral:rRNA from 1 species
UACGAAGGGGGCUAGCGUUGCUCGGAAUUACUGGGCGUAAAGCGCACGUAGGCGGCUUCUUAAGUCGGAGGUGAAAUCCUGGAGCUCAACUCCAGAACUGCCUUCGAUACUGGAGCUCGAGUCCGGGAGAGGUGAGUGGAACUGCGAGUGUAGAGGUGAAAUUCGUGAGAUAUUCGCAAGAACACCAGUGGCGAAGGCGGCUCACUGGCCCGGUACUGACGCUGAGGUGCGAA